CGCGUGGGCGCGCGCUACCUCACGCACGCCAGCGACGACGCGCGCCACGGGCACUGACCAGAAAAGGACGCGGCUCCGGACGACAGCCCCGCGCACAAGAGGGGCGGGGUGCGCAGGCGCUGGAGGCGGCUGCUGGUCACGGCGGAGUGACUUGUGUGGUGUGGUGCCAUGUGGAGUGCCGUGUGUGGUGCCGUGUAGUGCCGUGUAGUGCCGUGUGUGGAGUGGACAGGGUGCGGGCGGCUGACGGUGUGCCGCUCGAAGUGAUAUUCUAUUGCGAAGUUUUAGUUUAACGAUGCAGCUGACUGAAUGAUAGUGAUGCCAAGGUAUACAAAUCAAAAUACUCUUUACACAGACUUUUUACCCGUGUGCUUCCACGUGUUAAGAAUGUAACAAAGCAGCUCAUUUUAACUUAUGUUAUCCUGGUACCUUCAAACGAGUUUUCAUCCAAAUGUAAUAAAUAUUACUCAUCUCCACGUG